rnacentral:lncRNA from 1 species
CGUCAUAAACAACAAACGCGUGGAGCCAUAUUGGAAAAGAAAUAUAUUUUAAAACGAAUCCAAUCGCAUCGUUAAUUGUCAAGCGUAGAUUUAAAAUAGAUGAUCAUGGGGAGAAGCAAAGGCAUCUAUUCACUUAACAGAUCUUCCACAAUUAAUCACCGAGUAUGAAAAUGUCCCAGAAGACAAAUUAAUUCACAUUAAAUUUGAUUGACGGUUUACAUAAUGAUUUGUAGGUGGCCCUCACCGUCUACAUAUUCUAAGCUAUAGAAUAAAGAAUAGGUUGGGAUUAAUUUUGAUGCCGAGAGGGUCUUAUAUCAUGAAACGACGGGGAACACGUCAUCUGGUGUGUGGAUGGCCCGGAAGUGCAUCAUAUAUGACACACCUGAGGACAUCAGACAUCUGACCUGCACGAGAGGUCCAUUAUCAGCUGGUAGAGGGUCUUUCACACGACAGAGGGAUCCUUUCUGCUCCCUUUAAGAACAAUUUGGACAAUGGUCGUUUGUUAAAAUGUUAUUAAGGACCAGAUACAUUAAUGACGCAGGCAGCAGCCGAAGCGGAGAGAGCCAACAUCUGGUAUGAAAUGACGUUUAGCAAAGUUAGUGGAAAAAUGGGCAAAGAUCACGUUAUCCGAUCACGUGACCGUUCUCAGACUGGAUAGCAUUUAGCAGGAUGAAUACGUUCAAUAAAAAGGACUAUCGCACCUGAAAUGGAAGCUUUUGAUCGAUGCAUCCUUCUAGUACUAAUGUAUUGUUGCAAGACCUGGAACUUAACAAAGAAAAUCAAAGAGAAGCUAGAAUCAACAGUCCUACGUGGAGCAAAUCAUCCUUGGAACAACAUUGAAAGACCGAAAUACAAACCAACGGAUAAGAAUAAAAACCCACUAAUUGACAUUAUCACUUAUAUCCAAAAAAGAAAACUGAACUUGGGCUAAACAUAAUAUAAGAGAUGGUGAUAGCAGAUAGUCAUGCACGGUCAUGGAAUGGAGAUUUAUGGAUGGUAGCUAUGGAAGAGAAUGCCCAGAAGGAAAUGGAGAGAUAAAAUUGUAUCUACUGCCAGAAAGAGUGGAUGCAAAUGGCAAAAUAUAGAAGUGAUUGGAAACUUUUGGGUGAAGACUUUUGUCCU